ACACAUGCAAGUCGAACGGAGUUCUUGAGGAAUGCGGCUUCGGCCAAAUGACUUUUGAACUUAGUGGCGGACGGGUGAGUAACGCGUGAGCAACCUGCCUUUCAGAGGGGGAUAACAUUUGGAAACAGAUGCUAAUACCGCAUAAGAUUACAGUACCGCAUGAUACAGUGAUCAAAGGAGCAAUCCGCUGAAAGAUGGGCUCGCGUCCGAUUAGAUAGUUGGUGAGGUAACGGCUCACCAAGUCGACGAUCGGUAGCCGGACUGAGAGGUUGAACGGCCACAUUGGGACUGAGACACGGCCCAGACUCCUACGGGAGGCAGCAGUGGGGAAUAUUGCACAAUGGGCGAAAGCCUGAUGCAGCAACGCCGCGUGAGGGAAGACGGUUUUCGGAUUGUAAACCUCUGUUUUCGGUGACGAAUAAAUGACGGUAACCGAGUAGGAAGCCACGGCUAACUACGUGCCAGCAGCCGCGGUAAUACGUAGGUGGCAAGCGUUAUCCGGAAUUACUGGGUGUAAAGGGAGCGCAGGCGGGAUAGCAAGUCAGCUGUGAAAACUAUGGGCUCAACCCAUAAACUGCAGUUGAAACUGUUAUUCUUGAGUGGAGUAGAGGCAAGCGGAAUUCCGAGUGUAGCGGUGAAAUGCGUAGAUAUUCGGAGGAACACCAGUGGCGAAGGCGGCUUGCUGGGCUCUAACUGACGCUGAGGCUCGAAAGUGUGGGGAGCAAACAGGAUUAGAUACCCUGGUAGUCCACACUGUAAACGAUGAUUGCUAGGUGUGGGGGGUCUGACCCCCUCCGUGCCGGAGUUAACGCAAUAAGCAAUCCACCUGGGGAGUACGGCCGCAAGG
rnacentral:rRNA from 1 species